rnacentral:rRNA from 1 species
UAUCGGUUUUGGAUGGACUCGCGGCCUAUCAGCUUGUUGGUGAGGUAAUGGCUCACCAAGGCGACGACGGGUAGCCGGCCUGAGAGGGUGACCGGCCACACUGGGACUGAGACACGGCCCAGACUCCUACGGGAGGCAGCAGUGGGGAAUAUUGCACAAUGGGCGAAAGCCUGAUGCAGCGACGCCGCGUGAGGGAUGACGGCCUUCGGGUUGUAAACCUCUUUCAGUAGGGAAGAAGCGAAAGUGACGGUACCUGCAGAAGAAGCACCGGCUAACUACG